CUUGUGAUCCGCCCACCUCAGCCUCCCCAAGUGCUGGGAUUACAGGCAUGAGCCACCGGGCCCAGCCUGGGCAUUAUGUUUUAAGGAGGAAAGACAAUUAGAAAUAGAACUGAGGAGGGUAGAGAACAGAGAAACUGAUGUGAGCCAAACACACCUACCUUACAAGAUUAAAGGUGUUUGGCCCAUUGCUGAGGCCUCAUGAGAACAAAUUAAGAUCCCCAAGAAAGGUUCAAUCUGUUUAUGAGUCAGGGUCAAGAUUCGGGGCUUUAUUUCAUCUCCUCCUAUCACCCUCUGACUGAGAUGAGAGUUUCCUACACAAGUGAGACAUAUGCGACAGAAAAUGUAGCUGGAGGGUUGGGUGCGGUGAUUGGCAGUCUCCACCUAGCGUCUCAGCUCCAAGAUAAGCCCUAAGAUUCCCUCUGGAACACUAGUCUGUACUUUUCUAAAUUUAAAGGAAGUCUCAAGUGUAGAACUGUUGCUGCAGUCUGGAGUCUUCACUGCUCCACAUUCUUGGUUUGCUGCAUUGCUCCUCCCCAGACCAAGCAGAAGCAUCUGUAACAUCUGAAGAAAGAACCCAGGCCCACAGCUCACCCACUACAGAACCUGGGACCUUUUCCUCCUUCUAGCACCAACUAAUGCUAAGAAAAGCCACUUUCACAGAUGGCGACGUUUGAGUCUUGCGGA